GGACAGAAGCAUACCACCCUGUAUCCCACUACUGGCUUGCUUCUGAAGCUAAGCAGGGUUGGUCCUGUUCAAUCCCUGGAUGGGAGACCAGAUGCUGCUGGAAGUGGUAUUGGAGGACCUCUUUCCU
ensembl:rRNA 5S_rRNA 5S ribosomal RNA